GCAAACUUGGUCAUUUAGAGGAAGUAAAAGUCGUAACAAGGUUUCCGUAGGUGAACCUGCGGAAGGAUCAUUAUUGAAUUUUAAUGUAGAGUUGGUUGUAGCUGGCCUAUUAAUUUGGGCAUGUGCACACCUCCUCUUUCAUCCACACACACCUGUGCACCUGUGAGACAGAUGUUGGGGGGGACUUUAUUUUAAUAGAGGAACCCCCCUCUGUCUACUUAAUUCAUAUAAAAUCAAUUUAUUUUAAAAUGAAUGUAAUGGAUGUAACACAUCUAAUACUAAGUUUCAACAACGGAUCUCUUGGCUCUCGCAUCGAUGAAGAACGCAGC
rnacentral:misc_RNA from 1 species